GACGAACGCUGGCGGCGUGCCUAAUACAUGCAAGUCGAGCGGGCCUCCGGAGGUGCUUGCACCUCCGGACGGCCAGCGGCGGACGGGUGAGUAACACGUGGGCAACCUGCCUUUGAGGCCGGGAUAACACCGGGAAACCGGUGCUAAUACCGGAUACGUCCUCUUUCGCGCCUGCGAGAGGGGAGAAAGACGGUCUUUAAGGCCGUCGCUCAAAGAGGGGCCCGCGGCGCAUUAGCUGGUUGGUGGGGCAAGGGCCUACCAAGGCGACGAUGCGUUGCCGACCUGGGAGGGUGAUCGGCCACACUGGGACUGAGACACGGCCCAGACUCCUGCGGGAGGCAGCAGUAGGGAAUCAUCCGCAAUGGGCGAAAGCCUGACGGUGCAACGCCGCGUGAGUGAGGAAGGUUUUCGGAUCGUAAAGCUCUGUUGUGAGGGAAGAACAGCAUCCGGAGGAAAUGCCGGAGGUUUGCCGGUACCUCACCAGAAAGCCCCGGCUAACUACGUGCCAGCAGCCGCCGCGGUAA
rnacentral:rRNA from 1 species